GAACAAUAAAUUGAAGUUAAUUUACCCAAUUCCUAAAUAAAUAUACACUUGCACUUUUUCCAUAACAAAUAUUUAUAAUAACUCAUUUAACGUUUUCAUAAAUAAGUAAAAUACUGAAAACUUAACCAAAUACUGAACAAACUUAUAUAUGAAAAUAAAAUAUUUUCAAAAGCAACAUAAUUUUCAAAUUAAACAUAAAAAUUAAUUAAAAUUAUACAAUAUAUAUUAUUAGUAACUAAUAUUUUCAUAAAUAUAAUAGGGUUUAACUGUAAGAUAUUGUGAUGUACAUAAUUAUUUUUUAAAAGAUCACUUAAUUUUUUACUACAAUUUGUUAUAAUAAAAUAAAACUAAUAUAUAAGUACAGUUAAUAUAAUUAAUAUUGAUAUUUUAAUAAUUAAAGGAAGACAGUUAUAAUAUUGAAUAAUUUGUUAUUGAUCAAAACUAAAUAUUAAAAUAUUUUAUGGAUCUUAACUUUAAAAUACUGUAUGUAAUAUGCCUAAAUACAAUUAAAAUACAGUAGUUUAAUAAUACUACUCAAUAUGAUUGCAGCUGAGGAACAAGGCAAACAACAAGGUUAGCUAUCACAAAAAGAUGCAGCCUUAAGAUGAUGAUAUUAUUAUUAUUUAUUAGUACUGCAAAAUUUAAAUUUAAUCUUGUUAAAGGGAGUAGGGAAUUUUUUUUUUUAAUAACAUUUUGUGUUUUUAUACUAUGUUGUUAUAACUAUUGAUUAUUAAAUUAUAAAUGUAAAACAAUUACCUAUAUAAACAAGAUGUCCUAUGAAGAUAGCUAUACCUAUAGUAAUAUUUCUAGAGGUAAUAAAAAUAAUCAAAUUUUGCUUUUUUUUUAUAUUACUUACAUGGAAAAAUACAACAAAUAUUUAUAUUUCAAUUAAUUUUGUUUGUUUUGGAAACAUCAGAUAAAAAAAAAUGUAUAGUUAAUUAGCUAUAAUAAUAAUCAAUUAGCGAAUAAGAUAACAG